rnacentral:rRNA from 1 species
AUUGAACGCUGGCGGCAGGCCUAACACAUGCAAGUCGAGCGAGCGGCGGACGGGUGAGUAAUGUCUGGGGACUGCCCGAUCGAGGGGGAUAACUCCUGGAAACGGUAGCUAAUACCGCAUACUAUCUGAUUGCCCAUAUGGGAUUAGCUAGUAGGUGGGGUAAUGGCUCACCUAGGCGACGAUCCCUAGCUGGUCUGAGAGGAUGAUCAGCCACACUGGGACGGAGACACGGCCCAGACUCCUACGGAGGCAGCAGUGGGGAAUAUUGCACAAUGGGCGCAAGCCUGAUGCAGCCAUGCCGCGUGUAUGAAGAAGGCCUUAGGGUUGUAAAGUACUUUCAGUGGGGAGGCGUUACCGACAGAAGAAGCACCGGCUAACUCCGUGCCAGCAGCCGCGGUAAUUC